rnacentral:rRNA from 1 species
UGCGCAGGCGGACCUAUUAGUCAGUGGUGAAAUCCUGCGGCUUAACCGUAGAACUGCCAUUGAUACUGUUGCCCUUGAGUAUAGUUGAGGUGGGCGGAAUAUGUAAUGUAGCGGUGAAAUGCAUAGAUAUUACAUAGAACACCAAUUGCGAAGGCAGCUCACUAAGCUAUCACUGACGCUGAGGCACGAAAGCGUGGGGAGCGAACAGGAUUAGAUACCCUGGUAGUCC